GGCUACGUGGUGUAGUGGUCAGCACACUCGACGCGUAUUCGAGAGGUCCGUGGUUCGAAUCCCGGCGAGGGCA
rnacentral:tRNA from 1 species